rnacentral:rRNA from 1 species
UACGGAGGGUGCAAGCAUUGAUCGGAAUUACUGGGCGUAAAGGGCGCGUAGGCGGUGAGAUAAGUCAGAUGUGAAAUUCCGGGGCUCAACCCCGGAGCUGCAUUUGAAACUGUCUGGCUAGAGUUCAGUUAGGGUAAACGGAAUUCCACGUGUAGCGGUGAAAUGCGUAGAUAUGUGGAAGAACACCGGUGGUGAAGACGGUUUACUGGGCUGAUACUGACGCUGAGGCGCGAAAGCAUGGGGAGCAAACAGG